rnacentral:rRNA from 1 species
UGCGCAAGUCAUUGGGACUUAAAGCGAAACCUAAAGGCAAAAUGAAAGUGAAUAUACGUGUGUGUGUGUGCGGCGCGUGUGCCACUCGUGGUGCGCGCACACACCAUACACACAGAGGGAGGAUGGGCCGACCCAUAGUUGGCCGGCCCCGCACUCCCAGGGCGUCUCGAGUUCAAUGCGAACUGAGGCGCACCUAGAGCGUACACGCUGGGACCCGAAAGAUGGUGAACUAUGCCUGGUCAGGACGAAGUCAGGGGAAACCCUGAUGGAGGUCCGUAGCGAUUCUGACGUGCAAAUCGAUCGUCGGAACUGGGUAUAGGGGCGAAAGACUAAUCGAACCAUCUAGUAGCUCGUUCCU